UCUCCGUUGGUGAACCAGCGGAGGGAUCAUUACCGAGUUUACAACUCCCAAACCCCUGUGAACAUACCAUUGGUUGCCUCGGCGGUGCCUGCUUCGGCAGCCCGCCAGAGGACCCAAACCCUUGAUUUUAUACAGUAUCUUCUGAGUAAAUGAUUAAAUAAAUCAAAACUUUCAACAACGGAUCUCUUGGUUCUG
rnacentral:misc_RNA from 1 species